rnacentral:rRNA from 1 species
UCGGGAAUUUUGGGCAAUGGGCGAAAGCCUGACCCAGCAACGCCGCGUGAAGGAUGAAGUAUUUCGGUAUGUAAACUUCGAAAGAAUAGGAAGAAUAAAUGACGGUACUAUUUAUAAGGUCCGGCUAACUACGUGCCAGCAGCCGCGGUAAUACGUAGGGACCAAGCGUUGUUCGGAUUUACUGGGCGUAAAGGGCGCGUAGGCGGCAAUUCAAGUCAUCUGUGAAAUCUCCGGGCUUAACUCGGAACGGUCAGAUGAUACUGCUUUGCUAGAGUGCAGAAGGGGCAAUCGGAAUUCUUGGUGUAGCGGUGAAAUGCGUAGAUAUCAAGAGGAACACCUGAGGUGAAGACGGGUUGCUGGGCUGACACUGACGCUGAGGCGCGAAAGCCAGGGGAGCAAACGGGAUUAGGAUACCCCAGUAGUCCCUGAGCGGGCUGGCAAGGCGCAU